AUUGCCAGCACCAGGACCUCAUCCUCUGGAAGAGACUGGUGGAAGAGAACACAAGUAGAGCGGUAUGCAGCUUCUGAUGGCAUCACCUCCAUUUGCAGGAAAGCCUGAUCAACAGUUGGCUGUGGAAUCCAAGCAGCAGGCAAGAAGAGAGGGAGCAGGUGAGCAGGCACUCCCAGAGAUUGAUGAGCAGGAGGUGUGGGAGUAGCAGGGGCUGGGAACAGCCCUCCUUCACACCAUUUAUGUGCUAAUCCAGGUGUAUGUGGGACACAUGGGACAAGCACCCUACAACUGUUACAGCUGCUGAAGGGUAAAGGGAAGGAGAAGGAAGUCAGCAGCUCAACUGGCCGCCUGGAUCAUGGCUUUCCUGCCCAUCCUCCCACCCCCCACUGAAGAGGCAGGGUCUGCUUGGGCAGCCCUUUGAUCUACCAAAAGAGAGGAGGGGAAAUGAAGGCAAUGUCUGCCGAGCCCCUGGCUAUGGGGCUUUGUAGGGGUGCAUGUAAUCUGGGUCUAGCAGCAGCCAGUCUGUAAAAGGACAGCUUUGUGUCUCUGUUUUGGGUUCUUUUUUGUUAUCAUUCUGAAUUCUAAGAAAUAAAGUGUUUGAUUGCAA